CGCUCUACAACCCUUUGUGAACAUACCUAUAACUGUUGCUUCGGCGGGUAGGGUCUCCGCGACCCUCCCGGCCUCCCGCCCCCGGGCGGGUCGGCGCCCGCCGGAGGAUAACCAAACUCUGAUUUAACGACGUUUCUUCUGAGUGGUACAAGCAAAUAAUCAAAACUUUUAACAACGGAUCUCUUGGUUCUGGCAUCGAUGAAGAACGCAGCGAAAUGCGAUAAGUAAUGUGAAUUGCAGAAUUCAGUGAAUCAUCGAAUCUUUGAACGCACAUUGCGCCCGCCAGCAUUCUGGCGGGCAUGCCUGUUCGAGCGUCAUUUCAACCCUCAAGCUCUGCUUGGUGUUGGGGCCCUACAGCCGAUGUAGGCCCUCAAAGGUAGUGGCGGACCCUCCCGGAGCCUCCUUUGCGUAGUAACUUUACGUCUCGCACUGGGAUCCGGAGGGACUCUUGCCGUAAAACCCCCCAAUUUUCCAAAGGUUGACCUCGGAUCAGGUAGGAAUACCCGCUGAACUUAAGCAUAUCAAUAAGCGGAGGAAUCU
rnacentral:rRNA from 1 species